rnacentral:lncRNA from 1 species
CAUUCUCUCAAGUACCUCUCCGCUUCCUCUGCUUGCUUUCAUGUAGUUUAUUGCUUAGGUAAAAAAGUUUAUUCCGGCUAGACUUUCUUCUUCUCUUAACUAGGAUAUAGUUAAGAGAAGAAGAAAGUCGUGCUUACUCUCACCUUCUUUCUUGUGUUGUAAGAGGGGCGAAAGGGAACCAGAGCAGCAAGCAUCACAACUAGUGACAUUCCCCGCCACAACAGUUCCACUUCAAGGUGAACGGACUCCCGCAGCACUAUACAUUUCCCUGAGGCGCCUAGCCUUUAGUUCAUUUGCAAGAGAGAAGGCCUAGAAAGUCAGUCCACUAGCAGUUUCAUUGGCCCUUUUGAACCCUAGCUUCUCCUUCGAUCCAAAAGCCGUCAAUCGCAUGUGCGAUGUGUCUAGAGUUUACCUUCGGAUCAGACCUCAAAAACAGAAAGAGAAAAAAAAAAGUGUCUUCGUGGCAACUAUGUUAUACCGUUCGUGCCCCUCACCAGAGAGCCACUGAACUCGCUUUCAAGAAGAGUCUUUCCUGCUUCCAAUUCAUAGACUUAAAAAAGGGGAUUUGCCACAUCGUUGAGUGAUCUUUAAAAAGGAAGUCGGCCUUCACUAUCUUCCAAUCUUCAAAGGACAGUGGAAUUAGGCUUUAUCCGAUGUAAGAGCUUCUUCUUUCGUCCUCUAGUCUUCUUUUAAAAGAAGGAGGAAUGCCCCAACCACGAUGUUGCGCGUAGAAAUCCUCCCUCCAUACCAUGACCUCUCUAUAUAUAGAUAUAGGAGCCUUACAAGACUUAGACAGCUUCGAGAAGACUCCCUGCCUUAGGAGCUAUUUCAAAUGAGACAGGAAUGAAAGCAAGGCCGAGAGGGGGAGAGAAUGGAAUACUAGGGGAGAAUCCUAGGACUUCAAGAAAGUCAGGCGAAUGGUGCCUAUACCUGAAAGCACAUAAGCUCGCAUUCCAAGACUUUGAAUGCAAACUAAAUCGAAAGCUAAUGGAAGGCUGGAGGACCUGGCCCACUAAACUAAAGGAUAGGCGUAUGGAGGAGUAGAGUUAGUUAAAGCUGCACGGGACCUAUUGCCUCCACAUCUCCUUAAGGUAGAGUAGAGCUUAUUCAUGAGGAUGAUUCGUAGUUCUCAUAAGAAAA